UGUUUCAAUCUAGAUUCAUGUGUAUGCUCUUUUCUGUAGCUUCUUUGCAAUAGAACAUGUCUAUGGACCUGUUUUAACCGUCCUGUGUUGCUUUCUUUUUUAGACCUUUUACAUUGUCUGGAACCUCUGCUUCAUCUCAACCAACUGUCUAACUUUGUUCAGUUUACCUUGUCAAUUAUCACAUGUAUCUAGACUUGGUUUCUUUGCAUUGUAGGUUCACUUUGUCAAUAAUUAAAACUUCACACAUGGCUUUAUACCAACAGUUCCAAGUUGAAGCAAGCUAUAAUCUGAGUUGUUUUGGUUGUAUUGAAGAUUGAAGCGUAAAGGAAAUUGUUCCCAACAGUAGUAAGAGCUUGGCGUAAGAGAUACAAUUUGCCUUCGGGGCUAUACAGAGAUACAACUUGCCUUCGGGGCUAUACAGAGAUACAAUUUUCCUUCAGGGCUAUUUACAUUUGCCUUCAGGGUUAUGCACUGCCUUUGGACCAUUCACGUUGCCUUCGGGGCUAUGCACUUACACAGGGACCCCACAUGAGGCAGGAUAAUUUAUUUUCAGUAUUGCAUUCAAGACACGAGACAGAGACAAGUAGAUAUGUUUCCAGAUUAUCAUUGAAUUAAUCCUCAGUUUACAUUCAGUAUAUCUUGUAUAUCAGUUUAGUUUAAGUUUCAGUUAUUCAGUUGCCUCACAUACUCGGUAUAUUGUUUUGUACUGACGUCCCUUUUGCCGGGGAUGCUGCAUUUAAUGCUUGCGCAGUCCCGACGACGGUAUAUACGAGCCUUCAUAGUAGACGGUGUCGAGUAUCAACUAGAUUGGUAUGCUCCAUUUCAUCCAAAGUUACCAGGUCAAGAGUUGGAGUCAUUUUACAUACAUAGACAUGAUGGGUAGAGGGGGCUUUGUCCGGACCACAAUACAGUUAUGUUUUUCUUAGAGGCUUAUAGGCUUGUCUUAUACGUACAAUAUGUCAGCAUGGUAGCCUUGUCGGCCUUGUAUAUAUUUGUUUGGGGUUUUGUUGUUUGUAGAUAUGUAUGGUGGCCUUGUCGGUCCACAUAGGUGCUUAUAUAUAUGUUGGGGAGAUCCCAUUUUAGUGAGAUAGUUAUUAUCUACAUAUUAUUCAGAUUACACCCUUGUCAGCCUAAGAUAGCAUACUUGUGUUAUAGAUUGGCCUUGUCGGCCUAGAUUGUUGUGUAUGUUCAGGUUAAAUGAGUUACAGUAGUAUGCUCGGAGUCAAGUAAGGCAUCAGGUGCCAGCCACGCCUCCUUAGGAUUG